AUUGGAAAUGUUAAUUUUGCGAGUUUUUUUAUGUAAUAUUUAUUCGGUAGGUACUCUGUGUUUAAAAUAGUAAGAUCAAAUAGAAUUGCUUGACAAUUUAACAUGAGAUUCAUUAUAAGUUGUACUUAGUGGUCAAUAAGAAAAAUGGUUUAAUGUAGUAUAUAUAUAUAUAUUUUUUUAUAAGCAUUUUAAUAUAAAAUUUUGAUGAAAAUCGUAAAUAUUACAGCCUUUUAGACAUGUAUAACUAAACUCCACUUAGAAUCAUUUUUAUUAACAAAU